CACGGGAGGUGGAGGCUGCAGUGAGCUGAGAUUGUGCCAUUGCACUCCAGCCUGGGUGACAGAGAGAGACUCCAUCUCAAAAAAAAAAACCAUUAAAAAAAAGUGAGCACUUUAAAUUUCCUUCCCUUAUGUAAACACUUUGAGUAGUUUCACCGGAUUUUUCAGUUAGUUUCAACACCAAGUGAAUACCUCUGACAUGGAAAUUAAAGUUUUAACCAAGAGACUCCAAGCUAAGGCUAAUAUUAAGCCAGAAAGAGGAAGUUAUUAAAGGUCCAGUUCGUUUUUCUUUUUUUUUAAUUUCUUCUUCUUUGUUUUUUUUUUUUUGACAAAGUCUCACACUGUCACCUCGGUUGGAGUACACUGGCGUGAUCUCGGCUCACUGCAACCUCUGCCUCCUGGGUUCAAGUGACUCUCUUGCCUCAGCCUCACGGAGUCUCACUUUUUUGUCCUGGCUAGACCACAGUGCUGCAAUCUCAUCUCACUGCAACCUCUGCCUCCUGGGUUCAAGCGAUUCUUCUGCCUUAGCCUCCCGGGUAGCUGGGACCACAGGCAGGCUCCACCAUGCCUGGCUAAAAUUUUUGUAUUUUUAGUAGAGACAGGGUUUCACCAUAUAGGCCAAGCUGGUCUCAAACUCCUGACCUCAUGAUCUGCACGCUUAGGCCUCCCAAAGUGCUGGGAUUAUAGAUGUGAGACACCGUGCCUGGCUAUAGUUGCAAUUUUUUAAAAUGCUACAUACAUUAUGACUAGUUCAUUAAAAUUAUUCAUACUUAGAUACUUAUACCUAAUAUCCAAAGAAAAUUUACUACCAAAUUGUUACAGUAGAUAUUAGUGUGACAUGUUUAUUACUUUAUUCAAUAGGGAUAAUUAUGAAUUAACACAACUUUAGUAUCUUUUAUUGCACUAAAUUGGAAUGCUGCUAUUACAGGAAAAAUAAAGACAGGUGAUGUGGCCACCCAAAACCAAUAAUAGCUAUUCAGUUAACUAUGUUACAAGUUCUUUUAUUUUUAUUUUUUUUUUUGAGAUGGAGUUUCACUCUGUCACCCAGGCUGGAGUGCAGUGGCAUGAUCUCGGCUCACUGCAACCUCCACCCUCCAGGUUCAAAUGAUUCUCCUUCCUCAGCCUCCUGAGUAGCUGGGACUACAGGCGCCUGCCACCGUGCCUGGCUACUUUUUUGUAUUUUUAGUAGAGAUGGGGUUUCACCAUCUUGGCCAGGCUGGUCUUGAACUCCUGACCUCGUGAUCCACCCACCUCUGCCUCCCAAAGUGCUGGGAUUACAGGCGUGAGCCACCACGCCCAGCCUACAAGUUCUAAUAUAUUCCACUCUAUGAAAACAGUCAGAUUCUAUUUCUUCAUCAA
rnacentral:lncRNA from 1 species